rnacentral:rRNA from 1 species
UAAGUAUAAGCUUUUAUACGGUGAAACUGCGAAUGGCUCAUUAAAUCAGUUAUCGUCUAUUUGAUUGUGCCCUUACUACAUGGAUAACCGUAGUAAUUCUAGAGCUAAUACAUGCGAAAAGUCCCGACUUCUGGAAGGGAUGUAUUUAUUAGAUUAAAGCCAAUGCGUUUUACGACGCUUCUUGGUGAUUCAUAAUAACUGUUCGAAUCGCAUGGCCUCGAGCCGGCGAUGUUUCAUUCGAGUUUCUGCCCUAUCAACUUUCGAUGGUAAGGUAUUGGCUUACCAUGGUGACAACGGGUAACGGAGAAUUAGGGUUCGAUUCCGGAGAGGGAGCCCGAGAAACGGCUACCACA